UACGGGGGGGGCAAGCGUUGUUCGGAAUUACUGGGCGUAAAGGGCUCGUAGGUGGCCAACUAAGUCGGACGUGAAAUCCCUCAGCUUAACUGGGGAACUGCGUCCGAUACUGGAUGGCUCGAGUUUGGGAGAGGGAUGCGGAAUUCCAGGUGUAGUGGUGAAAUGCGUAGAUAUCUGGAGGAACACCGGUGGCGAAGGCGGUUCUCUGGGCCUUGCCUGACGCUGAGGAGCGAAAGCGUGGGGAGCGAACAGG
rnacentral:rRNA from 1 species